UACGUAGGGGGCUAGCGUUGUCCGGAAUCAUUGGGCGUAAAGAGCGCGUAGGCGGCCAGAUAAGUCCGGUGUGAAAGUCCAGGGCUCAACCCUGGAAUGCCGAUGGAUACUGCGGAGCUAGAGUCCGGAAGAGGCGAGUGGAAUUCCUGGUGUAGCGGUGAAAUGCGCAGAUAUCAGGAGGAACACCAAUGGCGAAGGCAGCUCGCUGGGACGGUACUGACGCUGAGACGCGAAAGCGUGGGGAGCAAACAGG
rnacentral:rRNA from 1 species